GAUGAACGCUGGCAGAAUGCUUAACACAUGCAAGUCAACCUGUGGCGGACUCGCGAGUAACGCGUAAAGAAGUUGCCUCACGGUUAGGGACAACAUUUGGAAACGAAUGCUAUUCCCUAAAACAGUGAGAGAGCUUUGCGUCCCAUUAGCUCGAUGGCGAGGUAACGGCUCACGAAGGAGAUGAUGGGUAGCCGGCCUGAGAGGGUGAUCGGCCACAAGGGGACUGGGGCAGCGGCCUUACUGCUACGGGAGGCAGCAGUGGGGAACAGUUGACAAUGGACCGCAGUCUGAUCCAGCAAUUCUGUGUGCAAGAUGCAGUUUUCGGAAUGUAAAGUGCUUUCAUUUGGGCAGCGGUACCAGCAGAAGAAGCAACGGCUAAAUACGUGCCAGCAGCCGCGGUAAUUC
rnacentral:rRNA from 1 species